rnacentral:rRNA from 1 species
AGUCGCAUGCUGUAGACCCGAAGCGGGGUGAUCUACGCAUGGGCAGGUUGAAGCGCGGGUAAGACCGCGUGGAGGACCGAACCCACCAGGGUUGAAAACCUGGGGGAUGACCUGUGUGUAGGGGUGAAAGGCCAAUCAAACUCCGUGAUAGCUGGUUCUCCCCGAAAUGCAUUUAGGUGCAGCGUUGCGUGGUGCUUGCCGGAGGUAGGGCUCUGGUUGGCUGAUGGGCCCGACAAGGUUACUGACGUCAGCCAAACUUCGAAUGCCGGUAAGUUGAGCGUGGCAGUGAGACUGCGGGGGAUAAGCUCCGUGGUCGAGAGGGAAACAGCCCAGAUCACCGACUAAGGCCCCUAAGCGUGUGCUAAGUGGGAAAGGAUGUGGAGUCGCAGUGACAACCAGGAGGUUGGCUUAGAAGCAGCCACCCUUGAAAGAGUGCGUAAUAGCUCACUGGUCAAGUGAUUCUGCGCCGACAAUGUAGCGGGGCUCAAGUACACCGCCGAAGUCGUGGCACUGCCAGUUUGCUGGUGGUGGGUAGGGGAGCGUCGUGCGAGCCGGUGAAGCCGCCGAGUGAUCGUGUGGUGGAGGUCGUACGAGUGAGAAUGCAGGCAUGAGUAGCGAGUCAGAAGUGAGAAUCUUCUGCGCCGAAUGACCAAGGGUUCCUGGGGCAGGUUCGUCCGCCCAGGGUAAGUCGGGACCUAAGGCGAGGCCGACAGGCGUAGUCGAUGGACAACGGGUUGAUAUUCCCGUACCCGCUGUGAUGCGCCCAUAUCGAAUCCAGUGAUACUAAGGGUCCUUAAGCCGGUUGGCUCUUCGGAGCCGGCGUCAGGGUGAACGCCUGGCCUGAUCUGGUAGUAGGUAAGCGAUGGGGUGACGCAGGAAGGUAGCCCAGCCCGGGCGGUGGUUGUCCCGGGGUAAGCAUGUAGGGAGAGAGAUAGGCAAAUCCGUCUCUCAUGUAUCCUGAGGUGUGAUGCCGAGCCGAUUGUGGCGAAGUGGGUGAUCCUAUGCUGCCGAGAAAAGCCUCUAGUGAGUGUCGCGGCGGCCCGUACCCUAAACCGACUCAGGUGGUCAGGUAGAGAAUACCAAGGCGGUCGGGUGAACUGUGGUUAAGGAACUCGGCAAAUUGCCCCCGUAACUUCGGGAGAAGGGGGACCUUUACUGGUGAUGGAACUUGCUUCUUGAGCUGGUGGGGGUCGCAGUGGCCAGGGGGAAGCGACUGUUUACUAAAAACACAGGUCCGUGCGAAGUCGUAAGACGAUGUAUACGGACUGACGCCUGCCCGGUGCCGGAACGUUAAGGGGACCGCUUAGCCAGCCUUGUGUUGGCGAAGGUGAGAACUUAAGCGCCGGUAAACGGCGGUGGUAACUAUAACCAUCCUAAGGUAGCGAAAUUCCUUGUCGGGUAAGUUCCGACCUGCACGAAUGGCGUAACGACUUCCCCGCUGUCUCAACCACAGGCCCGGUGAAAUUGCAGUACGAGUAAAGAUGCUCGUUUCGCGCAGCAGGACGGAAAGACCCCGGGACCUUCACUACAGCUUGACAUUGGCGUUUGGAGCGUCUUGUGUAGGAUAGGUGGGAGACUGGGAAGCGGUGACGCUAGUUACCGUGGAGUCAUUGGUGAAAUACCACUCUGGUCGUUUUGGACGUCUAACCCGCGCCCGUGAAUCCGGGUGGGGGACAGUGUCUGGUGGGUAGUUUAACUGGGGCGGUUGCCUCCUAAAAGGUAACGGAGGCGCCCAAAGGUUCCCUCAGCCUGGUUGGCAAUCAGGUGUCGAGUGUAAGUGCACAAGGGAGCUUGACUGUGAGACUGACGGGUCGAGCAGGAGCGAAAGCUGGGACUAGUGAUCCGGCAUCGGCGUGUGGAAGCGGUGUCGCUCAACGGCUAAAAGGUACCCCGGGGAUAACAGGCUGAUCUUCCCCAAGAGUCCAUAUCGACGGGAUGGUUUGGCACCUCGAUGUCGGCUCGUCGCAUCCUGGGGCUGGAGUAGGUCCCAAGGGUUGGGCUGUUCGCCCAUUAAAGCGGUACGCGAGCUGGGUUUAGAACGUCGCGAGACAGUUCGGUCCCUAUCCGCUGCGCGCGCAGGAGACUUGCGAGGGGCUGUCCCUAGUACGAGAGGACCGGGACGGACGAACCUCUGGUGUGCCAGUUGUUCCGCCAGGAGCACGGCUGGUUGGCUACGUUCGGUAGGGAUAACCGCUGAAAGCAUCUAAGCGGGAAGCUCGCCUCAAGAUGAGGUCUCCCACCACGAGAGUGGGUAAGGCUCCCUAUAGACGAUGGGGUUGAUAGGCCGGAAGUGGAAGCGUAGUAAUGCGUGGAGCUGACCGGUACUAAUAGGCCGAGGACUUGACCAUA